rnacentral:rRNA from 1 species
GCAAAAAAACCUGGACUUUACAGAACAGGUGUACUUAUUAGACUUUAAAACCGAUUACAAUUUAUUGUAAAUUUAAAAUGAAUUAAAAUAAGUUUAUGAAUCGCAGAUCAUUUUGUGAUGAUAAGAAUGAAUUUCUGCCCUAUCAACUUUCGAUGGUAAUGUAGUGGAUUACCAUGGUGAUGACGGGUAACGGGGAAUUAGGGUUUGAUUCCGGAGAAAAGGCCUGAGAGACGGCCAUUACUUCUAAGGAAGGCAGCAGGCGCGUAAAAUUACCCCAAUCCUAAUACGGGGAGGUAGUGACAAGAAAUAUUGAUAUUGGACCCAAAGGGUACAAUGAUUGAAAUGAGAACAAUAUAAAAAAACUUAACGACUAACAAUUGGAGGGCAAGUCUGGUGCCAGCAGCCGCGGUAAUUCCAGCUCCAAGAGUGUAUAUUAAAGUUGUUGCGGUUAAAAAGCUCGUAGUUGAAUUUCUGAAAAUAUCUUGUGUAUUGUAUUUAACCGUCAUGAACAAAAAUUGUUACAUACUUGAUAGAUGG